rnacentral:rRNA from 1 species
UCGGGAAUUUUGGGCAAUGGGCGAAAGCCUGACCCAGCAACGCCGCGUGAAGGAUGAAGUAUUUCGGUAUGUAAACUUCGAAAGAAUGGGAAGAAUAAAUGACGGUACCAUUUAUAAGCUCCGGCUAACUACGUGCCAGCAGCCGCGGUAAUACGUAGGGAGCAAGCGUUGUUCGGAUUUACUGGGCGUAAAGGGCGCGUAGGCGGCGCGGUAAGUCACUUGUGAAAUCUCUGAGCUUAACUCAGAACGGCCAAGUGAUACUGCAGUGCUAGAGUGCAGAAGGGGCAAUCGGAAUUCUUGGUGUAGCGGUGAAAUGCGUAGAUAUCAAGAGGAACACCUGAGGUGAAGACGGGUUGCUGGGCUGACACUGACGCUGAGGCGCGAAAGUGUGGGGAUCAAACAGGAUUAGAUACCCAAGUAGUCCCUGAGCGGGCUGGCAAGGCGCAU